GUCCGUUUGAAGGUAUAAAUGGUCUGGCCUGCUCACUGAUGGAAUUAUUUAAGAGCUGCGGUAUAUUGACCGUGCAAAGGUAGCAUAAUCAUUAGGGGUUUAAUUGGAACCUGGUAUGAAGGGUUGGACAAAGGAAAGACUGUCUUUAUAGUGUAAGUUGAAAUUUACCUUUAAAUGAAAAGGCUGAAAUAUAUUAAUAAAGCUUUAUAAGUUAUUUAAACUUUGUUGAUUUAAAGAAAAAUAAAAGUCAAAUUUAAUUGUUUUAUUUUGUUGGGGUGAUAUGAGUAUAAUUGUUAUUAACUGCUUAGAAAAAAUACUAUUAUUAGAGAAUUGUAGAAUAUAUGAUCCUUUUUAAAGACUAAAAGACCAAGUUACUUUAGGGAUAACAGGGUUAUUUCUUUUGAGAAUUCAUAUUUAAAAAGAAGAUUGCGACCUCAAUGUUGAAUUAAAAUAUUUAUAUAAUGCAGCCGUUAUAAAAGAGGGUCUGUUCGACCU
rnacentral:rRNA from 1 species